UUGCACUGUUGCAAAUCAAUGGCAACAACAUGGAACUUGACAGAGUCAGUAAAGCACCUCUGCAGAAAGCGAUAUGAACCACAUCUCAUGGAUGACAAGGUGCCUGCUGAAAUCAUUCAAACCUGCAAUUCACCUUCUUCCUGAAUCACUAUACCUACUGCUGCCCUUGUGGAUGCUGUGAUUCCAGUCCACCAUUUAUCGUAUCUAAUUUUCUAUUAGUUUUGCCUAAAAGAAACCCAAAUAGUUGCUUCACAGAAUUCUCCAUGAACAUUGUUUA